ACACAAGCUCUGCUGUCAGCCAUGUGGAAUGAAGCAUGCCGGGCCUCAUCUCGGACCUGCACACUGCCCCUCAUUAUGUUCAUGAUCGGCAGGAAAUGGAUAAAGAGUGGCCAGAAGGUGAAAAAGAAGAGAUGGCCCCCUGAAAGGGACAUCCACAUUUAUUUGAGCACCUACCAGGAUACCUGCUUUGGGAGCCUUCUGCUGCUGCGUGAGAUCCCUGGCUACCCUGGAGAGACAUCAGACAACAAGUGAGAUGCCCAAGAGCCCUAGCUGUCUUUGUCUUUGCAGCCCAAGCUCCAGACAUGUACUGAAGAAGCUUUAAGGAUAAAUUCAGUCCCAACUACUCCCUGGCUACAACUAUGAGACAGACCCUCCCAAGUCAGAACUGCCUAGCCAAGCUCAGGCAACUCCAAGAUUUAAGAGCAAAAUAAAAGAUAGUUAUUGCUUUAA
rnacentral:lncRNA from 1 species